UCUCUCUCUCUAUCUCUCUCUCUCUAAUUUGUCUGAUCUGUUGUUCUGACCUCCAAUCUUGAGUUUCAGUUUCAUUGCCCUGUACGAUCAUCAAGGCGUGACCUCCGUCAGCCUAGACAACGCCAAUUCAAGAUUACGCUAUUAUAUUUCUGUAAUCUCUGGCUUUUUAUGCGUUCAAUAUUGGGAUAUGAUGUUCCCACAAAUUUGCAGCCAUGGAGAGGCGGCGAAUCUACGAUAUCAUUAAUGUCCUCUAGAGCGUUGGGGUUCUUGCGCGAAAGGCAAAGAAUCAGUAUUCUUGGAAAGGAUUUGGGGCAAUCUCUAAUGCUAUACAGGAGCUUAAGUGGGUCUGAAAGAGAACUUCAAUACUUUCCAUGGCAAUUUUCCAGCAAUAAUGAUCCAAAAGUAAGUGAAAGGAUUGUUCUUUUGAUUUUGUAAUAAGUUUUUUUUUUUUUUUGGAAAUUUGGUUCGAUAUUUGAUUUUGACUUAUGAGCUUAUAGGUACUAGGUAGAAUCCAUCUCCCUUCAUGAAGCUGCAAGGUUAUUACUUGGGGAUGCAAACAAUGCAUUCAUAAUUACUUGCUAUUUUUUAUUCAAUUUUUUUUAUAGAAACUUGGUGUUUGAUUCUGGUAAUCAAGAUAUUGCUAUUUCUUCUUUUUUGGAACUAUGUUGAGCUUGUUGUGUAUGGUCCUCUGCAAUUUUUUCUUUUCAUCUUUAUUAUGUUAGUGUUGCUGAGUUGGCAGAACUAGGGCUGGUACCACAUGUCAUCACUCUCAGAUGAAGGUUUCGGGUAUUGUUGGGAUAUCAAGCUUGUUGGAGGAGUGAAUAUGGUCCAAUAGACUAUUAUGCUUGCAAAGCGGCCACACAUUAUUGUACUUAAUACUUUAUAUUCCCCUAAAGGUUGCUACACCUGGACGCCUUAUGGAUCAUGUAUCCAACAUAAAAGGAUUUUCUCUUCGCACGUUGAAUUAUUUAUUAGAAGUAAUAAUGAAAUAUGAAGAUAUGUGUUUGGAGUCUGCUAAGGAAUUCUCCCGUGUUUGAUAAGGUCAAGAAGCUGCAAAGGGACUGUCUUAAGGAACCCUGUGAAUCACUGACGAAUCUUACAAGAGUAUCACUUCUAGUAGUGUAUAGUUUCUUAUGGAUGUAUUUUUAACUUGUAAAUUUAUUGUACAAUACAUUUAAAAUACAAUACAAGAUCAUAUAUGCACCAAUUAUUUGGUGCCUUUUUUUUUAAUAUAGCCUACCAAUUUUGCCACU